rnacentral:misc_RNA from 1 species
CUUAAUCUUUGAGACAAGCAUAUGACUACUGGCAGGAUCAACCAGGUAGCAUUCCUCAACGACGUCGUCGCCGUACGGCCGGGCCGAGACGGGAGCGACGGUCGUGCAUCGUUGGUGUCUAAUGCAUGAUCGGGCAAUGAUAAGAGGCCGCGGGACCUCAAUGCCCUCGGUGCUUUCCGUAUCCGAGAGCUCGAGCGAUGCCCCGUGCACCGCGACGGCAUACGCCGACGCGGGUAACGGGCCAUGCUGCGAGUUUCGUCUCGUGACCCGCCGGUAAGCGGACCGCUAAACGAACGAGGGACGUUGGGACAAACGAAUGCCAUCGCGUAGGUACGCAACACAGGAAACCGGGGCGACGGCCAAGGCUGCGACGCACUUGGGCCGAAAUUGAGGAGUCGCGAGAGGCACGCCGUCGCUGCCCGAGGCAGGGAUCCGACGCA